UAAAAAAUUUGGCGGUAUUUUAGUCUAUUCAGAGGAACCUGUUUUAUAAUCGAUAAUCCACGAUGGACCUAACUUAAAUUUGUAUUCAGUUUAUAUAUCGUCGUUAUUAAAUAUUUUAAUAGAAUGUUAAUUUUUAAAAAUUUUUUAAAAAAAUAUAUCAGAUCAAGGUGUAGCUAAUAUUUAAGUAGUAAUGGGUUACAAUAAAUUUAUUUAAAUGGAUAUAAAUUUGAAAUAUUUAUUGAAGGUGGAUUUGGUAGUAAAUUUAUAAAGAUUAUUAAAUUGACUUUAGCUCUAAAAUAUGUACACAUCGCCCGUCACUCUUAUUAUUAAGAUAAGAUAAGUCGUAACAUAGUAGAUGUACUGGAAAGUGUAUCUAGAAUGCAAUUUAAAACUUAAUUAGUAAAGUAUUUCAUUUACAUUGAAAAAAUUUUUGUGCAAAUCAAUAUAAAUUGAUUAUAUUUUAUUUAUUAAUUAAUAAAAUUAAUUAAUUAAAUUAUUAAAAAUAAUUAUAUAAUUUAUAAGUUUUAGUAUUUUAUAAAUAAAAAAUAAUUAUUAUUAUAGUUGAAUAGUAUUGUAAAAGAAUAUUGAAAUAUU
rnacentral:rRNA from 1 species